AGCGGAGCGGGCAGAGCGCUCGGGGCUGUGAGUGGGGUCGGGGUGAGGGCCUCGGCGUGUGCCCCUCGCCCUCAGCAAGGCGCGGCAAACCUGUUCUGGGUGCCGUGUCCGCUCGCUGAGGGCCCGUCGGGCUGUUGGGGUGGGGGGAGGAGGUCCCGCUGAGCUCACGCCGUAAGGAAGCCGGAGAAAAAGGCUUUAUUGGCUGCGCUUUGUUCGAGCACGUCGUGUGAGAAAGUGUGAUGAAGUACUGAGAGUGGCAAAAGAGAGCUUCUCACUGUGUUGGUGGAGAAAGUGAGGAAUGGUGAGAUAAAGUUGCUUAUCCAUGGCUGCACAGGAAUUAAACAUCAAGAGCAAGAAACAGAAAUCUACAGAGCUGAUCAGUAUGCGGCAUUUUCCUUCCCGUGAGGAAUUCUGAGGUCUUGGAAAAACUUCCCCCGCCUGUCCAGGAGAACUCUAUUUCAGGAGAAACGAGACUGAAUUUUUCAGCAAACCAGCUAACAUCUGGAAGGCUUUUCAACCGCUGUGAAGUAGAAUUGGUGUGAACACUUUGGGCAGUCUGCCAUAGUCUCUGAAUGCUGUGGUUCUCUCUGGCUGCCUGACUAGGGAGGAAAAGAUAGUUCUCAUCUCUCUCCCCACUCUGACUUCUGUUCUGUGGUUCUUGGCCUGGAAGAUAUUUGCCCAUUAUUUUGAUUGUUUCCUGUGGGGAAAUUAUUCAGAAAGGUAUUUCACGACCAGCUUUAGCCAAUGCAUGUGGCUCCUAAAAGAGCCCCUUAUGCAGAAGUCAGUCUGAAAGAUAUUUGGUCUGCUGAGUGCAUAGCUUUGUACAGAGCCUACUACAUAUUUUUUUUUUUCUUUUGCUGCCUACUGGGCCCUAACUCAUAUUUCUUUUCUGGUAAGGUAGGGUCUGUGGAUAAGAUUCCUGUUGUGACUGACAUUGUACAAUGAUGUAGGAAAGAUGGAAUCUCUGCUCAAAGAGAUUAUUUUCAUCCUCAAAUUUUGCCACAUUUAAACUAAUAGAGCAGCAUUUGUUUAACAGACCCUGUAAGGAGUAAGGCAGGACCAUCCUUACAUCAGUGUUGUUCUUCUGCAUGGACAUGAAAAAACCAUUUAUGUGCCCUUCUGCUCCGAUACUGCUAUAGAGCUCAUUAAAUCUCCUUCUUGCAA